UGCAGCCCAGGGAGCCACCCAGAGCUGGAGGCUGUGUGCUGGGCCUCGGCCAGGAGCCUCCCUUCCUGUCAAGCCCCUUCCCCGGGCUCGGGCACAGGGCCGGCUCUCUGGGUACAACUGCAGCUGUCAAUCAGCAUGGCACUGGCCUUGGUCUUGGGAGGUGAGAGUGGGAGGUGCCGCUCCCACAUGGUCACCAAACAGCCCUACUGCUCAAAGCCAGGCCAGUCCUGGGUACCAGGGCCUGGGGUGUGGGUUGGAUAAUGCCCUUGCCCCAAGGAGCUCACAGCCUGUGGUGGAUAAAUCACAGGCCCCAAAAGUUGGUGUGACUCAGCCCGAGGCACACCGCUGGGUGGCAAUGGAAUGGGGACAGAACCCAGGGCUCCUGCUCACCAGGACUGCUCCCCAGCCUCCAGGCCAGGGUGGGGCAGGGGACGUUUUCCAGGGAAAGAUCUUGACCCUUUUCGAGGGCCAUGGAUGGAGGGUGGUCCACAGGAGAACAGUUGAUCCCCCUGCCCACCCUGGGUUCCCAUAGUUGCUGUUCCAGUCUAAUGAAGUCUGUCUUCUAGAAAUGCCCUGGACAACGAGGACCUUUCCAGAUGACAGGGACCACAGAUCGGCUUCACAUACCAGGGAGUUGCUGGCUCCGUUGAGCCAAGCUGUGGAGAUCAGCUCCUGCCACUCACCCCUGAGACCCAAGCUCAAGCUUCCCCUCGGCCAGGGUCCCCACGGCCCCUCAUCCUUCCACCAAGUCCAGCCUCCUGGGUCAGCCUUCCCCACGGCACCCCCAGGGCUCAGCAGUCCUGGAGGCCUGGCCCUGAA
rnacentral:lncRNA from 1 species